UACGUAGGUCCCGAGCGUUGUCCGGAUUCACUGGGCGUAAAGGGCGCGUAGGCGGCGGCUUGAGUCCCUGCGUGAAAUCUCCCGGCUCAACCGGGAGGGUGCGCGGGAUACUGGGCGGCUUGAGGACAUCAGAGGAGAGCGGAAUCCCCGGUGUAGUGGUGAAAUGCGUAGAUAUCGGGGGGAACACCAGUGGCGAAGGCGGCUCUCUGGGGUGCACCUGACGCUGAUGCGCGAAAGCGUGGGGAGCGAACCGG
rnacentral:rRNA from 1 species